rnacentral:rRNA from 1 species
CCUACGGGAGGCAGCAGUGAGGAAUAUUGGUCAAUGGGCGAGAUCCUGAACCAGCCAAGCCGCGUGAGGGAAGAAGGCCCUAUGGGUUGUAAACCUCUUUUGUCGGGGAACAAAACCCGCGACGUGUCCCGGACUGCGUGUAUCCGACGAAAAAGCAUCGGCUAACUCCGUGCCAGCAGCCGCGGUAAUACGGAGGAUGCGAGCGUUAUCCGGAUUUAUUGGGUUUAAGGGGUGCGUAGGCGGUCCGUUAAGUCAGCGGUAAAAUCGCGGGGCUCAACCCCGUCGCGCCGUUGAAACUGGGAGACUUGAGUUCGCGAGAGGUACGCGGAAUGCGCGGUGUAGCGGUGAAAUGCAUAGAUAUCGCGAAGAACUCCGAUUGCGAAGGCAGCGUACCGGCGGGAGACUGACGCUGAGGCACGAAAGCGUGGGGAUCGAACAGGAUUAGAUACCCUUGUAGUC